AGUUUGAUCAUGGCUACAGGAUGAACGCUGGCGGCGUGCCUAAUACAUGCAAGUCGAGCGGCAGCACGGUCUUCGGACUGGUGGCGAGCGGCGGACGGCUGAGUAACGCGUAGGAAUAUACCCAAAGUGAGGGAUAACUGCCCGAAAGGUGGCUAAUACCGCAUGUGGUCUUCGGACUUAAAGCCUUCGGGCGCUUUGGGAAUAGCCUGCGUAAGAUUAGCUAGUUGGUGAGGUAAUGGCUCACCAAGGCGACGAUCUUUAGCUGGUCUGAGAGGAUGACCAGCCAGACUGGAACUGAGACAUGGUCCAGACUCCUACGGGAGGCAGCAGUAGGGAAUUUUCCACAAUGGGCGAAAGCCUGAUGGAGCAACGCCGCGUGCAGGAUGAAGGCCCUCGGGUCGUAAACUGCUUUUAUGUGCGAAGAAUAUGACGGUAACACAUGAAUAAGGGUCGGCUAACUACGUG
rnacentral:rRNA from 1 species